rnacentral:rRNA from 1 species
CCUACGGGGUGCACCAGUGGGGAAUAUUGCACAAUGGGCGCAAGCCUGAUGCAGCCAUGCCGCGUGUAUGAAGAAGGCCUUCGGGUUGUAAAGUACUUUCAGCGGGGAGGAAGGCGAUAAGGUUAAUGGCCUUGUCGAUUGACGUUACCCGCAGAAGAAGCACCGGCUAACUCCGUGCCAGCAGCCGCGGUAAUACGGAGGGUGCAAGCGUUAAUCGGAAUUACUGGGCGUAAAGCGCACGCAGGCGGUCUGUCAAGUCGGAUGUGAAAUCCCCGGGCUCAACCUGGGAACUGCAUCUGAUACUGGCAAGCUUGAGUCUCGUAGAGGGGGGUAGAAUUCCAGGUGUAGCGGUGAAAUGCGUAGAGAUCUGGAGGAAUACCGGUGGCGAAGGCGGCCCCCUGGACGAAGACUGACGCUGAGGCGCGAAAGCGUGGGGAGCAAACAGGAUUAGAUACCCUUGUAGUC